rnacentral:lncRNA from 1 species
GGACGACCGAAUCGCGGCGACCAUAACCAAAAUUGACCGAGUCGAGAAAGUGGACACCCAGGCACGGUUCUUACGGUUUCGACAACGGAGACCAACGGCCCGAAUAGUGGAUGACUGUGACCCACUUGUGCCGCCAUUACGGUUCCGGUGUCACGGUGAACUUGCGCAACGUGACCCGACCUCCGAGUCGACGAAGAUCGAUCGCCGAUCGGCCGGACGAGCACCGUCAUCCGAAAUCGUUAGGCUCGGAAGGAUGACGCGAGCCGCCUAGCGGACGACUCCACGCCGAGUGGUUCUUGGCGUAGCGGAAGGUGGAGGGGAGGUCAAAGGAGAAAAAGACGGGAAGAACGACGGUAAUGUAGCCCUCCGGGACGGGAGCCGAAGAGGAAGGCCCCCGACCUCGUCACGGUCAACCUUGCGCGAAGAAAAGGCAGCCAUAACGACCGAGCGAGGAAAGUUCCCAGGAAAUUGCGGAGUGAGGUCUGCGCCGAUUUCCAAAAAAGUCCUUGCCUCUGACGUCGAUGCUCCGUCAAAGGCGACUCGGCGAGGGACAAUAGGAGCCGGAAUGGCGGCGGUUUAAUGCCGUCGUCGACUGCAAGAAGGACGCUGCCGCGUCCUUACGCUACGAAGUGACCCGCCCCGACGCUCCCGAAUAACUUCCGGAUUUGAGACAUUUCGAGGAUGUGCAAGAGAUUUUCGCAAGGUCUACCGGAAGUCGAUCUACGCGGCUCCAUCGGUAAGCAACUUCCGGUUGCGUCGUCGAGUUAUGCGAAUGGAUGCAGUGACGUCAAUGACUCGCACUCGACGUCGGGGACGAUGAAUCAUCGAACCGGUCAGCCAUCGACUGUCGACCGUGUCGAAAUUGAUUUCCUGCGCUUGUGAAAAUAUGAUCGAGCGUUCGAUUCUCCGGGAAAACCCGCGGAGGGCGAGAAAAGGUUGAAUCGAUCGUUCCAGGGUGAUCCCGGCGGAGCGCGAGGUCGGCCAUCGGUUUGCGGAAUCGGGAUAUUAAUUUCCCGUGGAUCGCGUUUAACGGCGACCCUAUCCAGGUGUCGUUUACGGCACGGAGGAACGACAAUCGCGGCCCGAGAUUGGCCAACCGCAAACACAACGGAGGAGCGGAGGUCGCAAUUGGGCAAGAGGAUGAGCGACCCGACUUCCUGCGGGCCUAUCGAUGCCGAUAAAGCCAGCCGGCAACCGGCAACCGGCGACGAUGAGGCAAUGCAUAACGGAAUACACGCCGAAGCGUUAGGCAACCCGCCGCGAGAGGAUUCAUUCCGACUCCGUUCCGUCUGGUUAUCCUCGAUACGAGAACCAGCCGAGUCGAUACCCUCCACCGAACGAUCCUACCUGUCGAUCCCUGGCCUCGAACGCCACGCGGGACAAAUGUCACUCGCUUCCGUGAGCCGCGUAUCGAUAAUUAGCACGAGCCGAUCGUCGGGAAAAAAUGUCGAUUCUCGGUCCAGUAACCGCAGCGCCAGGAAUUCCUCCAUCCAGCGAUCGGCAUAGUUUAUUCCCCGCCGUAGAUUGUCAAAACAUCGCAAUGAAACGUGCGUUUUAGUGCAAAGAAAUCUCGUUUAAAUUACAGACUCGUCGGACAG